rnacentral:rRNA from 1 species
AUGGCUCAUGUACUCACUAUCGUCUCCCCAGAAGUUCUGCUCUCACUCCUACUCUGCUUCAUCGUACUACGCCGCUACUACUUGGCAAGACGAUCAGCGAACAAUUGCAGUGAUCAUGGCCGCCGCCUCCCGCCGUCGCCUCCGAAGCUCCCUCUCAUAGGCCACCUGCACCUCGUCAGCCCCGACCCGCACAUCUCCCUCGCCGAGCUUUCACGGAAGCACGCCGGCCGCGACGGCCUCAUGCUCCUCCGCCUCGGCCAGGUGCCCAACCUCGUCGUCUCCUCCCCGAGCGCCGCCGAGGCCGUCCUGCGCACGCACGACCACGUCUUCGCCUCCCGCCCGCCGUCCAUCGUCGCCGACGUCCUCCUCAGCGGCCCCUCCGACGUCGCCCUCGCCCCCUACGGCGAGUACUGGCGGCAGGUCCGCAAGCUCGUCACCACCCACCUGCUGAGCGCCCGGAAGGUGCGCGCGCUCCAGGGCGGCCGCGAGGAGGAGGUGCGCCUUGUGGUGGCCAAGCUCCGGGCGGCCGCGGCCGCGCGCUCCGCCAUCGACAUGACCGAGCUGCUCGGCGCCUUCACCAACGACGUGGUGUGCCGCGCCGUGUCCGGGAAGUUCUUCAGGGAGGAAGGCAGGAACGAGCUGUUCCGGGAGCUCAUCGCCGGGAACGUGGCCGCGAUAGGGGGUUUCAACCUGGAGGACUACUUCCCGAGCUUGACCAAGGUCGGUCUGCUCCGGCGAGUGGUGCUGGCCAGGACGUGCACGCUAAAGAAGAGAUGGGACGAGUUGCUCGAUAAGAUCAUAGACGACCACGCAACCAAAUCACCAUGGCUAGUAGGAGGAGUACAUCAUCAACAACACAAUGAGCUAGAGCAACGCCAAGAAGAUCAAGACAGAGACUUGGUGGAUGUUCUCCUCUCUCUUGAGCACGAAUACAAUCUCACUAGAGACAACGUCAAGGUCAUCUUAAUGGACAUGUUUGUAGCUGGCACAGACACGUCAUCCAUUGUCCUCGAGUUCGCCAUGGCUGAGCUCAUGCGGAAGUCACACCUCAUGGCCAAACUUCAGGCCGAGGUGAGGAGCAAGACACCCAAGAGCCAGAAAACAGUCAUGGAGGAUGACCUAAGCGGCAUGUCAUAUCUCAAGGCCGUUGUGAAGGAGACGCUCCGGCUACACCCGCCGGCGCCGCUCCUCCUCCCACACCUCUCCAUGGCCGAGUGCGACAACGUCAACGGUUACAUGGUCCCGGCCGGGACACGCGUCAUCAUCAACGCGUGGGCUCUCGGAAGAGACACCGAGUCCCGGGGGGAGAAAGCGGAGGAGUUCUGGCCGGAGAGGUUCAUGGACGAGGCCAAAGCAGCAGCCGACUUCAAAGGGAGGGAUUUCCAGUUCCUGCCGUUUGGAACCGGGCGGAGGAUUUGCCCCGGGAUGGGCUUCGGGCUGGCCACUGUUGAGGUCAUGCUCGCCAACCUUGUCUAUUGCUUCGACUGGGAGCUCCCCGACGGGAUGCAGGAGGAGGAUGUUGACAUGGCUGACAUGUUUGGGGUGACGAUGCGACGGAAGGAGAAACUCGUUCUUGUCCCAAGGAUACCACAGGAUGCAAACAUAUAG